GCUUGAAUUUUGUAAAGGCGCUCUUAACGGACGCCUAAAGGUAGGUCCUACUCAGUCAGGAUAUAAAUCGCCACACUGCGGGCGAAAGAGCCCUCAGUCUGUCGUGGAAGAAACUGAUACACUGUGUGUGGCCCUAUGUUAGCCUUACCUGUGGACAUCUGCUGUUUUCCUAUGCAGAAGACCGAGUACCAGGAUGCUUCACUGCUGCUUUGAGAGUGGAAUCUGGUGACCGUGGCCUGUGGAUGAGCUUCUGCGUUUCUACGAAUACUGUUUAAUGUGUAAAAUCCCCCCCGGUGAUGUUUGUGUAAAUCUAUAGCUCAUGUACUUCGUGUAAGUUUGCUUUUUAUUUUUAUUACUAUUAAAUGAGACUUUGAAACCAUCGUACUUGCU
rnacentral:lncRNA from 1 species